rnacentral:lncRNA from 1 species
GUCUCAGAUCAUCUAUUACACAUAAGACAAGGCAAUGUUCAGUGCAUUAUGGUCAAUGAAAGAACAAUGUAAAUGAGUUUUCAAUAGAUCAAGUUAUUUAAGGCCAGCUACAUAUGCAUGGUGUGAACAUGAUAGGAAUUGUUCCUUUCACAGGCUUCAACUUAUUGCUUCUAUUCCUGGAAAAUGAGUGCCAUGGACAGAAGCCAUAUUGAUGGAAAAACUUGGUGUACAUGAAAUACUCAUCUAAACUACCUGUCAAGUCCAUGGGCACAAAGAAGUUCAGAGCAGCAAAGAGAAAAGUUGGGCAAAACAAUUUGGUCUACAUUAUGAAUUUAUCAAGGUCUGAUUGGACUUUCUGUAUCUUCAAGGCUAUUUGGUUCUCUCAGCUCUACCUUUCUCUAUCCCCCUGACCUUCUGCAAAUUUGUGGACUCCUUUUCAAGCUAGACCUGCAGUGACAAUAAGAGCCACCAAGCUUAUAGGUCGAAGUCCCUUCCUUGCACAGGUGGCUUCCAGGCCUCUGAAAUCUAUUAGCAAUGUAAUGCAUUUUACAAAAUGUACAAUAUUAAAAGUUUUAACCACAAAUGAUGAAGAAGCUAGUAGCCAUUUCUACCCUGAUUUCUUCUCUGUCAUGGAUUCCCUCCUGUUUGGUAGGUUGUCAUGGGUGUGAGAAAUUUUGUAAUCAGCCUAUGGGGAUGUUUAAUUGAAAAUACAUAUAGCCUAAAUUUAGAGUAAGCAUUUUCAUACUUUGUAGUCAUUUCUGUGUAAAUUAAAUUAUUGCCACUAGUCUUGGAAGGCUUCUAGGAAUAAUGUAGUCCGUUUAAACAGAAUUUAAGUAUUUAAGGAGAUUCUAAAUGUCCUGAAAUUUUAAAGUGCACAUAUGACAUAAGCUUGACAGAGAGCUUCCCAGAUUUUACAGCAAUGG